rnacentral:rRNA from 1 species
UACGUAGGGACCAAGCGUUGUUCGGAUUUACUGGGCGUAAAGGGUGCGUAGGCGGCGCGGUAAGUCACUUGUGAAAUCUCUGAGCUUAACUCAGAACGGCCAAGUGAUACUGCAGUGCUAGAGUGUGGAAGGGGCAAUCGGAAUUCUUGGUGUAGCGGUGAAAUGCGUAGAUAUCAAGAGGAACACCUGAGGUGAAGACGGGUUGCUGGGCCGACACUGACGCUGACAGCGCGAAAGCCAGGGGAGCAAACGGG